rnacentral:rRNA from 1 species
UGGGGAAUUUUGGACAAUGGGCGAAAGCCUGAUCCAGCAAUGCCGCGUGUGUGAAGAAGGCCUUCGGGUUGUAAAGCACUUUUGUCCGGAAAGAAAUCCUUGGCUCUAAUACAGUCGGGGGAUGACGGUACCGGAAGAAUAAGCACCGGCUAACUACGUGCCAGCAGCCGCGGUAAUACGUAGGGUGCAAGCGUUAAUCGGAAUUACUGGGCGUAAAGCGUGCGCAGGCGGUUUGCUAAGACCGAUGUGAAAUCCCGGGCUCAACCUGGGAACUGCAUUGGUGACUGGCAGGCUAGAGUAUGGCAGAGGGGGGUAGAAUUCCACGUGUAGCAGUGAAAUGCGUAGAGAUGUGGAGGAAUACCGAUGGCGAAGGCAGCCCCCUGGGCCAAGUACUGACGCUCAUGCACGAAAGCGUGGGGGAGCAAACAGGAUUAGAUACCCCUGGUAGUCCACGCCCUAAACGAUGUCACUAGUUGUUGGGGAUUCAUUUCCUUAGUAACGUAGCUAACGCGUG